AUGGCGUCUCACACGACAUUUUCUUGGAUUGCUUUGCAUCUGCUGGCUGUCCUCCUAGCGCCGGCGAGCGCUCAAGACCCGACGGCCGGGUUCACGGCCGUGAGCCUCAGCGAGAGCAACUUCCAGCUUCAGAAGCCGUACAACAUGCCGAGCAGCGCGCGGUAUAGCUUCGACGGCACGGUGCGGCGGAUCUGGGUGCUGUCCUCCGACGAGCCCUUUUCUCCACAGAGCGACACUAAGCCAAGAACAGAGAUGAGGAUGGCUGGAUACGACUACUCUUCCGGCGUGUGGCAAUUCGAGGGCUCCGUGUACGUGCCAUCGAGCACGUCGGGAGUGUCCAUCAUGCAGGUGUUUGGCGGCAGCGAGACGGCCACCACGUUGAUGCUGCACGUCUACAAUGGCGCGCUGAGGUACUACAACCAGAAGCCCGUCGAGGACAACGUCUACGACCGGUGGCUUCGGGUGAACGUGAUCCACGAUGUCGGCGCGUCGAGAUUCACCGUGUUCAUCGAUGGCGAAAAUAAACUGAGCGUCGGCGGACGCGGCGGCAACUCGCACUACUUCAAAUUCGGCGUCUACACGCAGAGGGACGCGUCCAGCCGCAUGGAGUCGCGCUGGAAGAACGUCAGGAUCCUCAAGAAAAACUGA
rnacentral:rRNA from 1 species